UACGUAGGGGGCAAGCGUUGUCCGGAAUUAUUGGGCGUAAAGAGCGUGUAGGCGGUCCGGUAAGUCGGCUGUGAAAGUCCAGGGCUCAACCCUGGGAUGCCGGUCGAUACUGCCGGACUAGAGUUCGGAAGAGGCGAGUGGAAUUCCCGGUGUAGCGGUGAAAUGCGCAGAUAUCAGGAGGAACACCGGUGGUGUAGACGGCUUUCUGGACCGUAACUGACGCUGAGACACGAAAGCGUGGGUAGCAAACAGG
rnacentral:rRNA from 1 species